UGGGGAAUAUUGGACAAUAGGCGAAAGCCUGAUCCAGCCAUGCCGCGUGUGUGAAGAAGGUCUUCGGAUUGUAAAGCACUUUAAGUUGGGAGGAAGGGCAGUAAGCGAAUACCUUGCUGUUUUGACGUUACCGACAGAAUAAGCACCGGCUAACUCUGUGCCAGCAGCCGCGGUAAUACAGAGGGUGCAAGCGUUAAUCGGAAUUACUGGGCGUAAAGCGCGCGUAGGUGGUUCGUUAAGUUGAAUGUGAAAGCCCCGGGCUCAACCUGGGAACUGCAUCCAAAACUGGCGAGCUAGAGUAGGGCAGAGGGUGGUGGAAGUUCCUGUGUAGCGGUGAAAUGCGUAGAUAUAGGAAGGAACACCAGUGGCGAAGGCGACCACCUGGGCUCAUACUGACACUGAGGUGCGAAAGCGUGGGGAGCAAACAGG
rnacentral:rRNA from 1 species